UAAUGUGGGAUGCAAUGGAUUCUGGGAAAAUUGAUGAGUGAAUUGUUCUAAUCUGUGGGUUCUUAGGAUAUGAGGACAUUUGAUGAAUGGUUCCUGCUGGCCAAGAACUGUCAAGUGGGCACAAUAGGCAAGCAUAUGGCUACCAACCCACCAAUCCAUGUAGAGUGUCCUCAGGACUUGCAGGGAAAGUUUCUGCUGGAGGAAACGGAUUCCUGGAAGCUGUCAGAGGAG